CCCUCUGCUACGGCCCUUAAGUAAUUCUCGCUUUUUUUGUGGAAUCACAAUUAAGGAUUGCCUGAAUGUGAAGAGCAGUGGUUGCAUUCAGUUAUAUCCGUAGCGCUACCUGACAUAUAGGGACGUCCCUAUCGCUGCAUUUGGCAAGCAUCGCCGCGUGACUAAUGGUAAUGCAAUUAAGCUCAAUAUUUCGAAAUGCUUUAGAGCGUUUAUUGUUUAUGGCUUAUGUGUGUCCAAGUGAGGGCUAAUUUCAACUUUAUGAGUGAUACUAGUUCCAUUCCUAAAUGUAUUAUUUUGUGAACACUGCUUUUAUUACUAUUUCAUUCUGUGAGCUGACAGCUACAUAUGUGCAUAAUGUAGCCCGGCCUGGUAGUGUCCAAUGUGGUUAAGGAGAUGAAUGUGUUUCGUGCCGAGAAUUAGAUGGGCCAUCCGUCAUGCCUGCCACCUUGGAUUUGUUCUCGCUCAUAGCCUGUUGAGUAGAGCCGGCGGCGGAAUGUGAGGACUAUAUAAGAAGGGUGAGAUCCAUCAUUUACUCACUUGCCCGGUCUCAUUUCAAGAUCCUCCAGGUUUCUUGCAACUGGCUCUUACUUCCAGGUUCCAGGAUGAAAUUCUUCAUCGCAAUCUUAGUAGUCAUCUUAUCGACGAUCGCUCAGUUGUCGGAAUGCAGAAGCGCAUACGAGGAUUUCAUUAGAGAAGUUGAGGAAUCCCGCCCAGCCAAACGAUGCCUCGGUCACGACGAACCAUGCACCGACUCCUCGCAAUGCUGCCAUCCGUUUCAGUCUCUUUGUAGUCUAGGUGGAGAUGGACGGAGGCUAUGCUAUAUUCCUCUGAGGUAUCAAAAUGACGAAGAAUCCCGCCCAGCCAAACGAUGCCUCGGUCACGACGAACCAUGCACCGACUCCUCGCAAUGCUGCCAUCCGUUUCAGUCUCUUUGUAGUCUAGGUGGAGAUGGACGGAGGCUAUGCUAUAUACCAGAGAGGUACAGAAAUUAAUACCUCUAGCUUACUAAGGAGCAUACAUAUAAACAAUGCAUAAGGCUAAAAAGUUUGGUUUCUUAAUUUGUUCUGUUUUUUUAUUUUCUGUGUGUGUUAAAAUGAUCCAUCAAGUUGUAAAUGCUAACUCAGGUUGUAAUGCCAAUUCAAGUUUUUGUAAUAAAUUUGUUAAGGCAUUGA